CUCAAAACUGGAUCCUUCUUCUUAAGAGGAUCUCGGUGUGCUCUCGAUCAAAAAAUCUGAGUUGCAGUCAACCUUUGAUUGCAACGCGGUCUCCUCUAGAUCACACAACCUUUUUCUUCUUUCUCCGAUGUAGAUCUGAAUCAGACUUCUUCAGAUGGUGGAUGCCCAACACCUUGGGUAUGGCUGCUAUAAGGUGUGAGAGAGGAGAGGGAG
rnacentral:lncRNA from 1 species